rnacentral:rRNA from 1 species
GGCCUUUUGAUUAUAAUUUAAGGUCGGGCCUGCCCAAUGAUGAAUUUAAUGGCCGCGGUAUAUUAACCGUGCAAAGGUAGCAUAAUCAUUAGUUUUUUAAUUGAAAGCUGGAAUGAAGGGUUUAAUGAAAAAAGUACUGUCUUUAUUUAAAUUUAUUAGAAAUUUAUUAUUAAGUAAAAAAGCUUAAAUAAUUAUUAUAGACGAGAAGACCCUAUAGAGUUUAAUAUAAAAUAAAAAAUGUUUAAUUUGGUAUUUUUUACUAUUUUUUAUUUAAUAUUUGAUUGGGGUGAUUGAAAAAUUUAAAAAACUUUUUUUUUAUGAAACGUUGAUGUACGAAUAAUUGAUCCUUUAUUUAGAUUAAAAGAUAAAAUUACCUUAGGGAUAACAGCGUGAUUUUUUUUAGAGUUCUUAUCGAAAGAAAAGAUUGCGACCUCGAUGUUGGAUUAAAAUUAAUUAUUGGUGUAGAAGCUGAUAAAUUAGGUCUGUUCGACCUUUAAAUUUUUACAUGAUCUGAGUUUAGACCGGUUUGA